rnacentral:rRNA from 1 species
ACAUCCAGCGAACUUGGCAGAGAUGCCUUGGUGCCUUCGGGAACGCUGAGACAGGUGCUGCAUGGCUGUCGUCAGCUCGUGUUGUGAAAUGUUGGGUUAAGUCCCGNAACGAGCGCAACCCUUUAUCCUUUGUUGCCAGCGAUUCGGUCGGGAACUCAAAGGAGACUGCCGGUGAUAAACCGGAGGAAGGUGGGGAUGACGUCAAGUCAUCAUGGCCCUUACGAGUAGGGCUACACACGUGCUACAAUGGCGCAUACAAAGAGAAGCGACCUCGCGAGAGCAAGCGGACCUCAUAAAGUGCGUCGUAGUCCGGAUCGGAGUCUGCAACUCGACUCCGUGAAGUCGGAAUCGCUAGUAAUCGUGGAUCAGAAUGCCACGGUGAAUACGUUCCCGGGCCUUGUACACACCGCCCGUCACACCAUGGGAGUGGGUUGCAAAAGAAGUAGGUAGCUUAACCUUCGGGAGGGCGCUUACCACUUUGUGAUUCAUGACUGGGGUGAAGUCGUAACAAGGUAGGCGUAGCGAG